UACGUAGGGGGCAAGCGUUGUCCGGAUUUAUUGGGCGUAAAGAGCGUGUAGGCGGCCAGACAGGUCAGCUGUGAAAACUCGAGGCUCAACCUCGAGACGUCGGUUGAAACCGUCUGGCUAGAGUCCGGAAGAGGAGAGUGGAAUUCCCGGUGUAGCGGUGAAAUGCGCAGAUAUCGGGAAGAACACCGGUGGCGAAGGCGGUUCUCUGGGCCUUACCUGACGCUGAGGAGCGAAAGCGUGGGGAGCGAACAGG
rnacentral:rRNA from 1 species